CAGGCACCAUGUGAGUAGGAAGACAAGCCAGACCUAGCAUCUAGCCUCUGAAAGCAGUGCUUACUCUCAAGAGUGGAGUGUAGAAGUUAUCAAGCAGGGGCAUUGCGGCUCUGGUCUGCAAGGGAAGGGUUUGGUCUGUGUAUCCACAUUUAUGCAACAAGACCUCAGUGUCAUGAAAUGCCACCUCCACACCCCUGCUUCCAGGUGUUGAUAUGGACUCACUUCUACAACUCUUCACACACAAAACACCCUGAGAUGUGAUGUUACCAGCCUCCAAGAUGGCACAGCAGGUUUCAGAGAUCCCUGGUGCCUUUGUAGAUCCUGAGGUCUACUGAACUGUGUGGAGUAGGCCUGUGCUGUCCAGGGAGAAGACAAUGUGGGCAAGAUACUGGGAGAGCAGAUGCUGGACACAUCACAUGUGGGAGACUGAAUGCUAGGUACAGAGGAUGCUGGGGAUGAAGGAUGCUGGGUACAGAGGAUGCUGGGGGCUGAGGAUCCUGGAGACGGAUGAAGGAUGCUGGGGAUGGAGAAUGCUAGGGCCAGAGUGGAAAAAGAAGAAGGAGAGGAAGAAGAAAAAGAAAGGAGGAGAAGCAGGAGGAGCAACAGCAGCAGCUGCAGCAGCUGCAGUAGCCAAAGUAUCCUCUGCCUUUUAGCAUCCCAAACACACCCUAAGAAUUCUGCACACGAAGAUUCAGCAGAGAUCCAGGCAUGGAAAUGAUUUUAAGUGAGCCUGACAGACACUCGAUAGCAUGUGGAAUUUUCAGGGGUUUUCUGGUACCCAGAGAAACUCUUGAAUUGCCAGCAACGUGGAACUCAAGUUGAGACUGCCAACCACGGACACCACUCCAUCUGCAGGCUCCCUGUUUCUGGAAUAAUCAUCAGAGUGUGAGAGGAUACAGAACUCUGGGCAACUGGGCAACUCCCCUUGUUAAAUCUCCCUGGCUCCUGGGACCAAGCUCCAGGCAGACG
rnacentral:lncRNA from 1 species